AUUGCCAGACUUUGUAACUAAAUUUAAUCUCCCACAAAGAGCAAUCUUUCCUUAUCUACAAAUUAAAUCGAUAUUGCACAACCAAACGCAGAUUAACGACCCACCGGGUACCAUAACUCCCUUCGAAAAAAUAUGUCUGGCCCACGACACUCCAAAGAAUGUGGUGUCCCUCCACAUACGUAGAACAAAUCAGGAAAAUAGGCUACAGAUGGUACAUGGUGCCUGAAAGGCUGGCACGCAUUUACCCCGGAACUACCAACAGAUGUUGGAGAUGUGGAACAGCCAGGUGUACAAUGCACCACAUUUGGUGGACGUGCACGCACCUCCGACCAUACUGGAAUAAAGUGG